UAAGUAGAUAGUGAAAUCUGGUGGCUCAACCAUUCAGACUAUUGUCUAAACUGCUAAGCUCGAGACCGUUAGGGGUAACUGGAAUUUCUAGUGUAGGAGUGGAAUCCGUAGAUAUUAGAAAGAACACCGAUAGCGUAGGCAGGUUACUGGGACGGUUCUGACACUAAGGCACGAAAGCGUGGGGAGCAAACGGGAUUAGAUACCCCGGUAGUCCACGCUGUAAACGAUGGAUACUA
rnacentral:rRNA from 1 species